UCCGGUGACUAUAGUGCAAAGGAACCACCCGAUCCCAUUUCGAACUCGGAAGUUAAGCUUUGUUACGCCGAUGGUACUUCACGGGAGACCAGUGCGGGAGAGUAGGAAGUUGCCGGUA
rnacentral:rRNA from 1 species